rnacentral:rRNA from 1 species
AUGCAAGUCGAACGAUAUCAUCCAGCUUGCUGGAUGAGAAAGUGGCGCACGGGUGCGUAACGCGUAUGCAACCUACCUUCAUCUGGGGGAUAGCCCGGAGAAAUCCGGAUUAAUACCGCAUAAAAUCACAGCACUGCAUAGUGCAAUGAUCAAACAUUUAUGGGACGGAGAUGGGCAUGCGUGUCAUUAGCUAGUUGGCGGGGUAACGGCCCACCAAGGCGACGAUGACUAGGGGAUCUGAGAGGAUGGCCCCCCACACUGGUACUGAGACACGGACCAGACUCCUACGGGAGGCAGCAGUAAGGAAUAUUGGUCAAUGGAGGCAACUCUGAACCAGCCAUGCCGCGUGCAGGAAGACUGCCCUAUGGGUUGUAAACUGCUUUUAUCCGGGAAUAAACCUAUCUACGUGUAGAUAGCUGAAUGUACCGGAAGAAUAAGGAUCGGCUAACUCCGUGCCAGCAGCCGCGGUAAUACGGAGGAUCCAAGCGUUAUCCGGAUUUAUUGGGUUUAAAGGGUGCGUAGGCGGCCUGUUAAGUCAGGGGUGAAAGACGGUAGCUCAACUAUCGCAGUGCCCUUGAUACUGAUGGGCUUGAAUGGACUAGAGGUAGGCGGAAUGAGACAAGUAGCGGUGAAAUGCAUAGAUAUGUCUCAGAACACCGAUUGCGAAGGCAGCUUACUAUGGUCUUAUUGACGCUGAGGCACGAAAGCGUGGGGAUCAAACAGGAUUAGAUACCCUGGUAGUCCACGCCCUAAACGAUGAACACUCGCUGUUGGCGAUACACAGUCAGCGGCUAAGCGAAAGCGUUAAGUGUUCCACCUGGGGAGUACGCUCGCAAGAGUGAAACUCAAAGGAAUUGACGGGGGCCCGCACAAGCGGAGGAGCAUGUGGUUUAAUUCGAUGAUACGCGAGGAACCUUACCCGGGCUUGAAAGUUAGUGAAUCAUUUAGAGAUAAAUGAGUGAGCAAUCACACGAAACUAGGUGCUGCAUGGCUGUCGUCACCUCG